CACACCCAUCACUGUGCGGUGACGGCAAUGGGGCCACGCGGAGCGCUAUGGGGUCACAUGGAGUGCUAUGGGGUAAUAUGGAGGGCUAUGGGGACACACGGAGCGCUAUGGGGUAAUAUGGAGCGCUAUGGGGUAAUAUGGAGUGCUAUGUUGUAAUAUGGAGCGCUAUGGGGUAAUAUGGAGUGCUAUGGGGUUAUAUGGAGCGCUAUGGGGUUAUAUGGAGCGCUAUGGGGUAAUAUGGAGCGCUAUGGGGUAAUAUGGAGUGCUAUGGGGUAAUAUGGAGGGCUAUGGGGACACACGGAGCGCUAUGGGGUAAUAUGGAGCGCUAUGGGGCCACAUGGAGUGCUAUGGGGUAACAUGGAGCUCUAUGGGGUAAUAUGGAGCGCUAUGGGGUAAUAUGGAGCGCUAUGGGGUAAUAUGGAGUGCUAUGGGGCCACACAGAGCUCUAUGGGGUAAUAUGGAGGGCUAUGGGGGCACAUGGAGUGCUGUGGGGCAACAAUGAGUGCUAUGGGGUCACAUGGAGUGCUAUGGGGUAAUAUGGAGGGCUAUGGGGACACAUGGAGCGCUAUGGGGUAAUAUGGAGCGCUAUGGGGCCACAAGGAGUGCUGUGGGGCAACGUGGAGCUCUAUGGGGUUAUAUGGAGCGCUAUGGGGGCACAUGGAGUGCUGUGGGGCAACAAUGAGUGCUAUGGGGUGAUAUGGAGUGCUAUGGGGUCACAUGGAGUCCUAUGGGGUAAUAUGGAGCGCUAUGGGGUUAUAUGGACCGCUAUGGAGCCAUAUGGAGCGCUAUGGGGUAAUAUGGAGUGCUAUGGGGCCACAUGGAGUGCUAUGGGGUAAUAUGGAGUGCUAUGGAGUAAUAUGGAGCGCUACGGGGUUAUAUGGAGAGCUAUGGGGUCACAUGGAGUGCUAUGGGGUAAUAUGGAGCGCUAUGGGGUAAUAUGGAGAGCUAUGGGGUUAUAUGGAGCGCUAUGGGGUAAUAUGGAGUGCUAUGGUGUAAUAUGGAGCGCUAUGGGGUAAUAUGGAGUGCUAUGGGGUUAUAUGGAGCGCUAUGGGGGCACAUGGAGUGCUAUGGGGUAAUAUGGAGCGCUAUGGGGUAACAUGGAGUGCUAUGGGGGCACACAGAGCGCUAUGGGGCAAUAUGGAGCGCUAUGGGGUAAUAUGGAGCGCUAUGGGGUAAUAUGGAGCGCUAUGGGGUUAUAUGGAGCGCUAUGGGGUAAUCUGGAGAGCUAUGGGGUAAUAUGGAGCGCUAUGGGGCCACAUGGAGUUCAAUGGGGCAGCACCGGCCCCAUAGCAGCCCCUUCCCCAUACCGGCACCCCACCCUAUGGCACCCCCCUGCCCCAUAGCAGCAUCUGACCCACAGCAGCCCCUGCCCCACAGCAGCACUCCACCCCAUAGCGCCACCCCAUGGCACCAUCUGCCCCAUUGCAGCCCCUGCCCCAUAGCAGCAACCCACCCCAUGGCACCACCCUAUGGCAUCACCUGCCCCAUAGCAGCAUCUGACCCACAGCAGCCCCUGCCCCACAGCAGUACCCCACCCCAUGGCACCACCCUAUGGCACCACCUGCCCCACAGCUGCACCAGCCCCACAGCAGCAGCCCACCCCAUAGCGCCACCCCAUGGCACCACCUGCCCCAUAGCAGCAUCUGACCCACAGCAGCAGCCCACCCCAUGGCACCACCCUAUGGCACCACCUGCCCUAUAGCUGCAUCGGCCCCACAGCAGCAGCCCACCCCAUGGCACCACCCUAUGGCACCACCUGCCCCAUAGCAGCCUCUGACCCACAGUAGCCCCUGCCC
ensembl:lncRNA